rnacentral:rRNA from 1 species
UACAUGGGGUGCAAACGUUGCUCGGAAUUACUGGGCGUAAAGCGCACGUAGGCGGCUUGUUAAGUCGGAGGUGAAAUCCUGGAGCUCAACUCCAGAACUGCCUUUGAUACUGAAGAUCUUGAGUUCGGGAGAGGUGAGUGGAACUGCGAGUGUAGAGGUGAAAUUCGUAGAUAUUCGCAAGAACACCAGUGGCGAAGGCGGCUCACUGGCCCGAUACUGACGCUGAGGCACGAAAGCGUGGGGAGCAAACAGG